AGCUCCCAGAAGAUACUCCGCUUGUGCCGGUGGUAGUAGUGGUACAGUGGGAUGUACUCGAUGCCCGGCCCCGACUUCAGGGUCCAGGAAAAGCAAUGGAGGUAUGCAACCCUGCUCAAGGACACAAAUACUGCUGACCGCUUGGUAUCCAGGUCGUGCUGUGCACAUGGGACGCUUUUCCCCAUCAGCCUUCCACUCUCGUACCUUUGAAUUACAGAAUUGGACUAAAUUAAAGACUGAAGGAAACAAAUGAUCGUGAAACCUGCAGACACUGCCAGACCUAAUUCAAGGAGAUGCUACCCUAGAAGUAGGGCGUUUGUCACGCCCACCACUCUCUUCGGAGAGCGCAGAGUGCAUGACGAACCCCGGGCACUGAGUUCUUUGGAGAAUGGAUAAG